rnacentral:rRNA from 1 species
AUUGAACGCUGGCGGCAUGCCUUACACAUGCAAGUCGAACGGCAGCGCGGGGCAACCUGGCGGCGAGUGGCGAACGGGUGAGUAAUAUAUCGGAACAUACCCUAGAGUGGGGGAUAACGUAGCGAAAGUUACGCUAAUACCGCAUACGAUCCAAGGAUGAAAGCAGGGGACCUUCGGGCCUUGUGCUCCUGGAGCGGCCGAUAUCUGAUUAGCUAGUUGGUGGGGUAAAAGCCUACCAAGGCGACGAUCAGUAGCUGGUCUGAGAGGACGACCAGCCACACUGGAACUGAGACACGGUCCAGACUCCUACGGGAGGCAGCAGUGGGGAAUUUUGGACAAUGGGGGCGAACCCUGAUCCAGCAAUGCCGCGUGAGUGAAGAAGGCCU